rnacentral:rRNA from 1 species
GAUGAACGCUGGCGGCGUGCUUAACACAUGCAAGUCGAACGAAGCACUUUGAAGUUUUCGGACUAAUGAGUGACUGAGUGGCGGACGGGUGAGUAACGCGUGGGUAACCUGCCUACAAGAGGGGAACAACAGUGAGAAAUCAUUGCUAAUACCGCAUAAUCUACAAUUAUCGCAUGAUAGAUGUAGAAAAGGAGCAAUCCGCUUGUAGAUGAGUUUGCGUCUGAUUAGCUAGUUGGUAUGGUAACGGCAUACCAAGGCGACGAUCAGUAGCCGUGCUGAGAGGCAGAACGGCCACAUUGGGACUGAGAUACGGCCCAGACUCCUACGGGAGGCAGCAGUCGGGAAUAUUGCGCAAUGGAGGAAACUCUGACGCAGUGACGCCGCGUAUAGGAAGAAGGUUUUCGGAUUGUAAACUAUUGUAGACAGGGAAGAUACAAGACAGUACCUGUAAAGUAAGCU